GAUUGGGCUCCCUUUUUAGGGCGGAGGCAAUCAAUUGGAUGGAGAGGAAAGUCCGGACACCGCAGAGCAGGGUGCUGGGUAACGCCCAGUCGGGGAAACCCGCAGGCAAGUGCCACAGAAAACAAACCGCGGGCUUGGCGGUGUGGGGCAUGUCUCCGCAGCGUCGGCACGUAAGGGUGAAAAGGUGCGGUAAGAGCGCACCGGAGGCGUGGUGACACGUCUGCCAGGUAAACCCCACCCGGUGCAAGGCCAAAUAGGAGGGUGUAUUCGGGCGGCUCGUCCGGCCCUCGGGUAGGCUGCUAGAGGAGGACGGCGACGUCCUUCCCAGAUAGAUGGUCGCAUAGAACAAAAUCCGGCUUACUGGCUUG
rnacentral:RNase_P_RNA from 1 species